GCUCUGUUGCCCAGGCUGGAGUGCAGUGGCACCAUCUCGGCUGACUGCAACUUCUGCCUCCCGGGUUCAAGCGAUCCUCCUGCCUCAGCCUCCCCGAGUGGCUGGUACUACAGAUUGAGGCCUGAUAUGUUGUAAAGAAUGAAGGAAAGCAGGAAGGAGAGAAGGAAGGAAGAAAGAAAAGAAGGAAGGAGGAAGAAUGGAAAGAAGGAAUAAAGGAAGGGAGGAGGAGGGUAUAUAAAGAAGAAGGAAAGAAAAAGGCAAAAAGAAUAGUUUUAGAAGAAACAUACCUCAAGGAACAGAAGAAGAAUUGAGCUCUGCCGCCUCAAGAAUAGUGGUUCUCAAAGUGUAACGUCAAGAGCAGCACUAUCAGCACUGUCUGGGA